UACGUAGGGUGCGAGCGUUGUCCGGAAUUAUUGGGCGUAAAGAGCUUGUAGGCGGUCUGUCGCGUCUGCCGUGAAAUUUCGGGGCUCAACCCCGAACUUGCGGUGGGUACGGGCAGACUAGAGUGUGGUAGGGGAGACUGGAAUUCCUGGUGUAGCGGUGAAAUGCGCAGAUAUCAGGAGGAACACCGAUGGCGAAGGCGGCCUGCUGGCUGAUGGCUGACACUGAGGCGCGACAGCGUGG
rnacentral:rRNA from 1 species